rnacentral:misc_RNA from 1 species
GAUGAAGAACGCAGUGAAAUGCGAUAAGUCAUGUGAAUUGCAGAAUUCAGUGAAUCAUCGAAUCUUUGAACGCACAUUGCGCCCGCCAGUAUUCUGGCGGGCAUGCCUGUUCGAGCGUCAUUACAACCCUCAGGCCCCCGGGCCUGGCGUUGGGGAUCGGCGGAGCCCCCCGUGGGCACACGCCGUCCCCCAAUGCAGUGGCGGUCCCGCCGCAGCUUCCAUCGCGUAGUAGCUAACACCUCGCGACUGGAGAGCGGCGCGGCCACGCCGUAAAACACCCAACUCUUCUGAAGUUGACCUCGAAUCAGGUAGGAAUACCCGCUGAACUUAAGCAUAUCAAUAAGCGGAGGA